UGGUUUUUCUUGGCGUUCUUCGCAGUUGG
rnacentral:piRNA from 1 species